GACGAACGCUGGCGGCGUGCCUAAUACAUGCAAGUAGAACGCACAGGAUACACCGUAGUUUACUACACCGUAUUCUGUGAGUUGCGAACGGGUGAGUAACGCGUAGGUAACCUGCCUGGUAGCGGGGGAUAACUAUUGGAAACGAUAGCUAAUACCGCAUAAGAACAUUUACUGCAUGGUAGAUGUUUAAAAGGUGCAAAUGCAUCACUACCAGAUGGACCUGCGUUGUAUUAGCUAGUAGGUGAGGUAACGGCUCACCUAGGCGACGAUACAUAGCCGACCUGAGAGGGUGAUCGGCCACACUGGGACUGAGACACGGCCCAGACUCCUACGGGAGGCAGCAGUAGGGAAUCUUCGGCAAUGGGGGGAACCCUGACCGAGCAACGCCGCGUGAGUGAAGAAGGUUUUCGGAUCGUAAAGCUCUGUUGUUAAGGAAGAACGA
rnacentral:rRNA from 1 species